AUUUAGGGGUGCUUCUCCGGGUUUCCAUGAUGGACCGGUAACGGACUACUGCAGCACGGAUCAACUUUUUGUGAUGAGAUGAUGAUGCUGGUUUCCCGAAAAACCUCUGUAAAACAUGGACCGUGACCGAGUUGCCACGUGAAGAUAGUCCAAUGAAUGAUAACCCAUGAAGAUAACAAAUAAGAAGAUGCAGCGAUAUUAGCAAUCUUAUGCCAAUCAGUGAGAAGUGAUGGAUGUACCUUACAGCCACUUAAGUUCAAAUCAACUACAAGUCUGCAGUUCUCCACAAGAUGCUGUAUACCUAUAUCCGUAACCCUGCAGCUCCAAUCAUUUUGUCAAACUCACAACUAUCUCUAUGGUGGCUUGAGAUCUCAAAUUAAAGAACCAGUUUGUAUCA